CUUGCUUCUUUGCUGACGAGUGGCGGACGGGUGAGUAAUGUCUGGGAAACUGCCUGAUGGAGGGGGAUAACUACUGGAAACGGUAGCUAAUACCGCAUAACGUCGCAAGACCAAAGAGGGGGACCUUCGGGCCUCUUGCCAUCGGAUGUGCCCAGAUGGGAUUAGCUAGUAGGUGGGGUAACGGCUCACCUAGGCGACGAUCCCUAGCUGGUCUGAGAGGAUGACCAGCCACACUGGAACUGAGACACGGUCCAGACUCCUACGGGAGGCAGCAGUGGGGAAUAUUGCACAAUGGGCGCAAGCCUGAUGCAGCCAUGCCGCGUGUAUGAAGAAGGCCUUCGGGUUGUAAAGUACUUUCAGCGGGGAGGAAGGGAGUAAAGUUAAUACCUUUGCUCAUUGACGUUACCCGCAGAAGGAGCACCGGCUAACUCCGUGCCAGCAGCCGCGGUAAUACGGAGGGUGCAAGCGUUAAUCGGAAUUACUGGGCGUAAAGCGCACGCAUGCGGUUUGUUAAGUCAGAUGUGAAAUCCCCCGGGCUCAACCUGGGGAACUGCAUCUGA
rnacentral:rRNA from 1 species